UACGUAGGGGGCAAGCGUUGUCCGGAUUUAUUGGGCGUAAAGAGCGUGUAGGCGGCUAAAUAGGUCCGUUGUGAAAACUCGAGGCUCAACCUCGAGAUGCCGAUGGAAACCAUUUGGCUAGAGUCCGGAAGAGGAGAGUGGAAUUCCUGGUGUAGCGGUGGAAUGCGCAGAUAUCAGGAGGAACACCGAUGGCGAAGGCAGCUCGCUGGGACGGUACUGACGCUGAGGCGCGAAAGCGUGGGGAGCGAACAGG
rnacentral:rRNA from 1 species